rnacentral:rRNA from 1 species
UACAGAGGUCUCAAGCGUUGUUCGGAUUCAUUGGGCGUAAAGGGCGCGUAGGCGGCUUAUCAAGUCAGGCGUGAAAUUCCCGGGCUCAACCUGGGGGCUGCGCUUGAUACUGAUUGGCUUGAAUGCGGGAGAGGAUAGUGGAAUUCCCAGUGUAGAGGUGAAAUUCGUAGAUAUUGGGAGGAACACCUGUGGCGAAGGCGGCCCCCUGGUUGGAUACUGACGCUGAUACGCGAAAGCGUGGGGAGCAAACAGG